ACGCUGGCGGCGUGCUUAACACAUGCAGGUCGAACGAUGAAGCCUAGCUUGCUAGGUGGAUUAGUGGCGAACGGGUGAGUAAUACGUGAGUAACCUACCUUUACCUCUGGGAUAAGCCUGGGAAACUGGGUCUAAUACCGGAUACGACCAAUCUCCGCAUGGGGUGUUGGUGGAAAGCGUUAUGUAGUGGUUAUAGAUGGGCUCACGGCCUAUCAGCUUGUUGGUGAGGUAACGGCUCACCAAGGCGACGACAGGUAGCCGGCCUGAGAGGGUGACCGGCCACACUGGGACUGAGACACGGCCCAGACUCCUACGGGAGGCAGCAGUGGGGAAUAUUGCACAAUGGGCGCAAGCCUGAUGCAGCGACGCCGCGUGAGGGAUGACGGCCUUCGGGUUGUGAACCUCUGUUAGCAGGGAAGAAGAGAGAUUGACGGUACCUGCAGAGAAAGCGCCGGCUAACUACGUGCCAGCAGCCGCGGUAAUACGUAGGGCGCGAGCGUUGUCCGGAAUUAUUGGGCGUAAAGAGCUUGUAGGCGGUUUGUCGCGUCUGCUGUGAAAGGCCGGGGCUUAACUCCGUGUAUUGCAGUGGGUACGGGCAGACUAGAGUGCAGUAGGGGAGACUGGAAUUCCUGGUGUAGCGGUGGAAUGCGCAGAUAUCAGGAGGAACACCGAUGGCGAAGGCAGGUCUCUGGGCUGUAACUGACGCUGAGAAGCGAAAGCAUGGGGAGCGAACAGGAUUAGAUACCCUGGUAGUCCAUGCCGUAAACGUUGGGCACUAGGUGUGGGGGACAUUCCACGUUUUCCGCGCCGUAGCUAACGCAUUAAGUGCCCCGCCUGGGGAGUACGGCCGCAAGGCUAAAACUCAAAGAAAUUGACGGGGGCCCGCACAAGCGGCGGAGCAUGCGGAUUA
rnacentral:rRNA from 1 species